rnacentral:lncRNA from 1 species
AUGCACUCUAUUCUUUCUUAUUCUCCCUCACUCCCCCUCCUCCUCCUCCUUCUUUUAAAAAUCAGCCCUGGUACAGAGGCAUCAAACUCUUGCUUCUGUGUUUUGUCCUCAACACCUGAACAGUUUUUCCAACAUGUGCUACAUUUGUACAUUUUAUCUUUUCUUUCUUAUUACCUUUCCUCUUUCCUAGUCCUAUACUACUUGGCUGAACGUUCCAACUUCAGUUUUUAUUUGUUGCCAAUGCCUACUGCAAUGGAUAAGCCAAAUUGUCUGUGCUUUUCAGAUCUCAGGAGAUGGGGAUUGUAGCAGUAUCUGAUUGCUUUAUCCUUGUAUUUUUAAAAAUAUAUUAUGCAGUGUUCUCCCCUACUCUUCCAAGAUUCCUCUGAGUAUAUAUAUUCAUUUAUCUUAUGUCAGUUUUACACUGACAAAGGUCAUGCUCAUAAUGAAAAAACGUAGUGCCACAAGUACCUCUGUGAAUUACAGGUUCAUAUCCAAUGUUCCUGCCUCUAGAUUCCUAAAAUUGAGAAAGAAGAGGGUCUCCAAAAUUUAUUUCUUUAAUUUUUACGCCACAGGUAGGAAAUGCUACUUCGAAGGUAAUGAAAAUGAUAAUAAAUAUACCCAACUUUGGCAUUCAGAGCAGUUUGAGCCCCUUCAAAAACGAACUCCUCAGAAGUUGUAGACCUACUCAGGCUUUUCUGCAUUUGCUCAAAAUAUUUCUAAAAUUGUUUGUAGGAUUUAACACACAUUUUUUGGACCAUCUUCUGCAGUAGCCAAUCUUUAUCCUUUAAUACUGAAUUUCAUUUUUGGUGAUACCAAAAGCUAUUCAGAGUCUAAUAAAAAGAUAGAUAGAGAAGUUGGGUUAAAAAAAUGGGAAUGUGUGCAAGGAAACAGAUAUCCUUAUGUGGUUGAUAAAUUGUUCCUUAAACAAAAUUCUAGCAGAGGAGUUCCAAAUGUUCCAGGUUUCCUGUACUUUGGAAGAAACUAAAAGUAAGUUCUUUCCAAAAAGAUUGAGAGCAUCUUCACUAAAAGUAUAAAUGAUAAAGAAUUGUUCAACUGUAUUCUUUUCUUUUUCUUUUAUUUCUUUAACAGGAAUCAUUUUUAAUCUAAAGACAUUAUAUUAAAGUGGAGGGAUUUUGUCAGUGAGUGUCAUCUGGGUGUCACCAGAGCCCAUGAAAAUCACUUACAGAGUUGCCUACAUUACUUAUAAAAUGACUGUUAAUUUCUCUAACUUUUAUAUAUUUCCCAUCCUUCUUUGCAUUGGCUUCAUUUUUGAAAGAUAGUGUGUUCAGUCAGAAAUAAUAAACAUUCAGGAGUAAAUCUUAUAAUCUACAUGACAUUGAGUUAAAUUUAAGCAAGUCACUUAACCAUUCAACUGAAAUUUACCCAAAUAUAAAAAUGGAAUAGUAAUACUUGAUUUACAGGACAGGUUUUAGAUUAAUGAGACAGCAUAUAAGAAGGUGAAUGGCAAAAUUGAAAGGAAAUCGAUGCUCAAUAAUUCUCUUCCCGCCCACCUUGGUCACCAUUGAACAUUUUACAUACCAAUUCAAUAUCUCCUCUAGAAUACAGAAAUAGGUUGGAACCUCUAAGUUCAUGAUGGCUGAACUGCCAGCUUCAAAUUUAUUCUCAAAAUGCCUAUCUUGGGACAAAAAGAAAAGACUGAAAGGGCUUGUUCCUGCUAGCACCUUCUCUGUGUAGAAUAUGGAUGGAUGAUUAUAACGUGAUGGGAAUACAAACUGACCCCCCCAAACUACUGGGCUAGGCUUCAAUCCUUUGAUGUUGGGCAUGGGAUUUAAAAACAAUUUCCCCCAUAUAUAACACUCCUCUGUGGAGGAACUAUCAGGAAAAACAUAAGGCCGCCCCCUUCAGAGGGGCGAUGGGAAGUAAUGACAGCAGUGGAGCAGAAGAAUAAAGGAAUUCUCUUUCCACAUAUGUGCUUUCUUGCUUCUCCCCUGGGUGGCACAUGGGCACACCACACCUCAAGGGAGACACGAGAGACAAUCAAUGAAGCACUGGGGAAAAAAGGGUUUUGAAAAUUUUGAAGAUUCUAUUUUCAGACUACUGAAAAUAUUCAAAGAUUUUGUGGGACAUGAGCAUGCAUAAAUGUGACCCUUUGGCUGAGUCUGAUUUUCCAGGAAUCUAAAAGAGAUCUCUGGAAGGAUCUGGGUCCAGCAGAGGUGAGGAAAGUGGCAUCCACAAAUCUCAGAUAAGGUCCUUCUUUGGUGAUUCUCAGCUUCUGCUUUCAAAUUUCUACAGUUAUUUCAGCUGUUAGGGUGGUUGGGUGGUGGGAGUGGGGGCGUUUAAAUGCUAGUUUAAAUAUGUGUUCACAUUGAAUUUUGAAGAAGGGAGGAAACGAUAAAUGGGGUGUUGUUUUGGCUGUCCUUGCCACCAUGGUUCUGUCCAUGCUUCCAUAUCCUGAGAUUGUCAACCACACAGCUUGCGUCCUGCAGGACCAAUCAUUAAGCUCUCCAGCAAGAUGGAAAAGAGUGCGUGCAAAAUUGGAAUGGGCUGAAAAGAAAAGAUGGGGCUCAUCAGAAAGAUGAAUACCUACCAUUUGCUUCAACGUGGAUGGAACUGGAAAGUAUUAUGCUAAGUGAAAUAAGUCAAUUGGAGAAAGAUAAUUAUCAUAUAGUUUCACUAAUAUGUGGAAUAUAAGUAACAGUGAAAGGGACUAUAUAAGGGAAAGGAGGAAAACUGAGUGGGGAAAAAUUAGAGAGGAAGACAAACCAUGUGAGAGUCCUAACUCUGGGAAACAAACGAAGAGUUGCAGAAGGGGAGGAGGGGGUGGGGGAUGAUGGGGUAACUGGGUGACAGGCUUUAAGGAGGGCACUUUAUGGGAUGAGCACUGGGUGUUAUACUAUAUGCUGGCAAACUGAAUGUAAUUAAAAUAUUUUAGAAAAAAUAAAAGUUGGGGCUCAAGGAGGGGCCAUGGCAACCUGUAUCUAAUUCCCACUAUAAAAAUGGACAUUCCUUUUUUUUUAAGUCACGAAUGAAAUCUCUGUUCAUUAAAAUCAUAACUAACCUUUUUCACCAGCAGAAGUGAGUACAUAUCUG